GAUUAUGGCUCAGGAUGAACGCUAGCUACAGGCUUAACACAUGCAAGUCGAGGGGUAGCAGGGUAGCAAUACCGCUGACGACCGGCGCACGGGUGAGUAACACGUAUCCAACCUUCCCAUAACUCAGGGAUAGCCUUUCGAAAGAAAGAUUAAUACCUGAUAGUACUUUUUCAAGGCAUCUUGAGAAAGUUAAAGAUUUAUUGGUUAUGGAUGGGGAUGCGUUCCAUUAGAUAGUUGAUGAGGUAACGGCUCACCAAGUCUUCGAUGGAUAGGGGUUCUGAGAGGAAGGUCCCCCACAUUGGUACUGAGACACGGACCAAACUCCUACGGGAGGCAGCAGUGAGGAAUAUUGGUCAAUGGGCGAGAGCCUGAACCAGCCAAGUAGCGUGAAGGAAUGAAGGUCCUAUGGAUUGUAAACUUCUUUUAUAGUAGAAUAAAGUGAUCCACGUGUGGAUUUUUGUAUGUAUACUAUGAAUAAGGAUCGGCUAACUCCGUGCCAGCCGCCGC
rnacentral:rRNA from 1 species